rnacentral:rRNA from 1 species
AAAGCCCCGCAAGGGGUAAGUAGAGUGGCAAACGGGUGAGUAACACGUGGGUGACCUGCCUUCGAGUGGGGGAUAACGUCCCGAAAGGGACGCUAAUACCGCAUGACAUCCUGCCUUUGAACAGGCGGUGAUCAAAGCUGGGGAUCGCAAGACCUAGCGCUCAAAGAGGGGCCCGCGCCUGAUUAGCUAGUUGGUGGGGUAACGGCUCACCAAGGCUACGAUCAGUAUCCGGCCUGAGAGGGCGGACGGACACACUGGGACUGAGACACGGCCCAGACUCCUACGGGAGGCAGCAGUGGGGAAUUGUUCGCAAUGGGCGCAAGCCUGACGACGCAACGCCGCGUGGAGGAUGAAGAUCUUCGGGUCGUAAACUCCUUUCGAUCGAGACGAAUGAUCUCCGGGUGAACAAUCCGGGGAAAUGACGGUACCGAGAGAAGAAGCCCCGGCUAACUCCGUGCCAGCAGCCGCGGUAAUACGGGGGGGGCAAGCGUUGUUCGGAAUUACUGGGCGUAAGGGGCUUGUAGGUGGCCAACUAAGUCAGACGUGAAAUCCCUCGGCUUAACCGGGGAACUGCGUCUGAUACUGGAUGGCUAGAGUGUGGGAGAGGGAUGCGGAAUUCCAGGUGUAGCGGUGAAAUGCGUAGAUAUCUGGAGGAACACCGGUGGCGAAGGCGGCAUCCUGGACCAUUACUGACACUGAAAAGCGAAAGCCAGGGGAGCAAACGGGAUUAGAUACCCCGGUAGUCCUGGCCCUAAACGAUGAAUGCUUGGUGUGGCGGGUAUCGAUCCCUGCCGUGCC